UAAGAUUUACCUCUUUGGGGCCUGAUUUUAAAAGUUGUUCUGAGUGCUCUCAAGUCCCGUUAACUUCAGUGUGACUUGAGGGGAAUGUACAUAUUGAUUACUUCUCUAAAUAGAGAAAAGCAGUGGGAGUGUCCUCAAAACACAAACACCCACACUGAAAUGCUUUCCUGUCCCUGUCUGUAUUUAACAUUCUGUGAUGUGGUGUGACACAUAAUGAUAUAGAGUGGCUGAUUACUGUAGAAUAGGUAUGCAGAUGAAUGAUAUGAGGGCCUUUGGGAAAUCUAUUCCAUUCUAACAUGGUACCUUGUCACAAUAUAAUUCACUCACAUUAGAUUGUCUCACACAACCGUGCAGAAUGUUAAAACAUUGGGGAAGUGGGGGGGAAGCAUCACAUGUUUACAGCACCAGUUUGGAGUCUUCUGAUAGGUGUUGUGAUGUUGAGCUAGCUCUAGGGAGAUGCCAGGAAAGGCGCUGAGCUCACGCUGGAUAACAAGGAUCCCAGAGAAGAUACUGACAGAGAUGAGGUCAGAGUGCUGGAAAUAUCUUAUAAACCUGGCAUAGAGGCCUGCCUGUGGCAUUUGUUCAAUGUCUAUUUUGAAGCACGUUAGCAGGUUAACGUGUCUGUGAGCUGCCGUUUUGCCUAGUUUGAUUCUCAGUAAGUAGGAUGUACGAGUAGUGCGUCAUCACUAAUACAUUUUACUAUCUUCUCCAGGGAACUCAGGAGUAUGACAAUGCCAGUUGCUGUGCCCACAUUUCAGACAAAGGGGAAAAAAAAGAAGGCAACCACAAACAGAAAGGAGAAAGCUUGUGUCAGAGUGUAGCAGCGUGGUCACCCGCUCCGGCCGUGAAGGGGUUAAAACAGCCCUGGGAAAGGGCUGCCCCGGGGAUCCAAUAGGCUAGGCUGAUUGGGGAGGCAGCCACAGCUGGGGCCAUGCCCCAAUCAGGCCACAGGUGGCCCUAUAAAGGGCUAUGAGCCAGGUGCUUAAAAAGACUCUCCCUCUAGCUUCAGAGGGAGAAGGACCUAGCUGUCUGGGAGCUGAGGGUGCAGGAAACCGAGCAGGGCUGGGGAAAGCAGGAGGUGCUGUGCUGGUGAGUCAUAGCAUUGCUACACAGAGGUUACAGAAAGCUUCCAGAUGGACAGUGGGAGGAAGAUGCAAGGGAAUAAGGUGAAACUCACCAGAGGAAGAGCAUCUCAGCAAGAACUGUUUUUUAUCUGAAGUAUAAGAAAGGCAGUGUGAUCCAGCAGACAGGGCAAUGGACUGGACCUCUCUUUUAUUCCCAGCAUUCAUUCAUGGUGAGAACUUGAGUAGAUCACUUAACCCUAAAUGUUCAAAUCUAGGGGCCUAAAAUUGGGCAUUUAUAUUUGGGCACCUAAAUAAGGUUAUUUUUCAGAAGUGCUGAGUAUCUGUGGCUCCCAUGGGCUUCUUUUCUGUCACAAUUGAAAUCAAUCUGAGAAUUGUUCAAUGGGAUUAAAGUGAAAGCUCCUUUUUUGUUGUUUUGUUGGUUUUACAUUUCCUAUAAACAGUCUAGUAGAAUGUUUUAGGUCAUUAUCCCCUUGAAAAUGGCAACUAUGGUCAACUGCCUGCUUUCCAGAAGGGGACCCU